CGUCGUCCACAAAUUCUACGAUCGAGUUUUCAGAGUUUCUAUCAUCAAUGUUCAAUUGACCAAUCUAUCUCCCCUUUUAAUUAACCUUCUUAGAGAUGCAUACGCUACAAUUGAAAUCUAUAAAAUUGUUUCAGUGUUAGUAUCUCUUUACGGUUGUCGACGUCGUUCCACCUAAAACCAGUUUCAAAUUACCCAAAUUGUUUUUCAUCCUCAUCGAAAAUUGAUGGAAGAGAACAUCAGAGGCCAUCUGAUCGACACCGUUCAGUCGAAAAAGAAAAGCUGAUUCCAUCUCUCAUCGUUUAAUAACGAUGUAGCAGUGUAAGAAAUUCGAUUCUAUUUCUGUUAAGUUUACAGUUUGAUUAAUCCCAAAGGAAGAACUCACCAUCAGUACAAACAAUAUUUUUGGUAUUUGUGAAAUAAGUCAGAGGAUAUUUCAGUUUGCUAAACCCUGGAAACAAAUAGCCUCUACCUAGCUACAGACAGAUUCCACCAACACGUUUCUUUGAUAUCGUCUUUGAGAUGGCAUUUACCUUCCAUAGUAGAAGGGAGACGAAGCUUGGAACUAUGCCCUCUUAGGUAUUCAAAUGCUUCUCUCAUGUCAUUGAGUGAGGAGAUGAAGAGAGAGCGAGACAUGGUUAAUCAACUUUUAAUUUUUUGGUAGAUGUUUCAAGCCAUUUAAUAACACAUUGCAAAGUUGACUCUAGCAUAAUGAAGAUAAGUAUAGUGUAAAAUUCUUUGUAUGAGUGGUACAAAUAUUUAAUUUGACUUGAUGAUCCCUAAUAACUCUUUCUUCCAGUUUUUAAGUCAAUAACACCAUCACACUAAAAAAAAGCAUGUGAUGCUACGAUUAACAAUGUAUCUGUUCAAAUUACAUGCGUUUAGAAGAAUCAAUUCAGUUGGUUUUGAAGAGUUUAUA